AACUUAAUGAAACAACCACACACAUACAUCGACACAUAGGUCGGGGUGCUCGCGGUCAUUGACUAAGGGUCGAACUAUGGGAUGUAUGGAGGCAUAAC
rnacentral:sRNA from 1 species